rnacentral:rRNA from 1 species
GCUAGACAUAGCAGUAAUGCAGUUAACACAUUAAGUGUGCCGCCUGGGGAGUACGGUCGCAAGAUUAAAACUCAAAGGAAUAGACGGGGACCCGCACAAGCGGUGGAGCAUGUGGUUUAAUUCGACGAUACGCGAAGAACCUUACCUGGACUUGACAUAGAAAGAAUUACGCAGAGAUGUAUAAGUGCCAGCUUGCUGGAACUUUCAUACAGGUGCUGCACGGCUGUCGUCAGCUCGUGUCGUGAGAUGUUGGGUUAAGUCCCGCAACGAGCGCAACCCUCGUCGUUAGUUGCUAACAGGUUAAGCUGAGAACUCUAACGAGACUGCCUGGGUAACCAGGAGGAAGGUGAGAACGACGUCAAGUCAUCAUGGCCCUUACGUCCAGGGCUACACACGUGCUACAAUGGGGUAUACAAAGAGCAGCGAUACCGCGAGGUGGAGCAAAUCUAGAAAAUAUCUCCCAGUUCGGAUAGCAGUCUGCAACUCGACUGCUUGAAGUUGGAAUCGCUAGUAGUCGUAGAUCAGCAAUGCUACGGUGAAUACGUUCCCGGGUCUUGUACUCACCGCCCGUCACACCAUGGGAAUUGAAUUCAUUCGAAGCGGGAAUGCUAAAGUAGCUACCCUCCACAGUGGAUUUAGUAACUGGGGUGAAGUCGUAACAAGGUAGCCG